AUUCCACGGACUCUCAAAAUUGAUCUGAUUCUUCACGGCAAUUGAAGGUUUGAAGAUCUGAAGAGAAAAUUCAUGGUUACAGUUUCUGCCAUAGUAGUGGAAGCGACUGAGGAAGAAGGAAGCUGAUUGGCGGUGGAGAAAAGAAAUGAAUCGACCAUGGUGGAGGAGGAAAGAUAUCAAUUGGCGAUGGUGGACUCUCUGGGUUACUGACAAAUUUACUGAUUUUUUUUGUUCGAUCUAACACAAGUAUGGCUCACGAUUUGAUUUUUCUUCUUUCAGUUUCCACUUAGAUUAGUUUUUUUUGUGAUUUUUGUUUGGUAUCUGAUAGAUUUGUAACUGAACAAAAC
rnacentral:lncRNA from 1 species